GACGAACGCUGGCGGCGUGCUUAACACAUGCAAGUCGAACGGAAAGGCCCUGCUUUUGUGGGGUGCUCGAGUGGCGAACGGGUGAGUAACACGUGAGUAACCUGCCCUUGACUUUGGGAUAACCUCAGGAAACUGGGGCUAAUACCGGAUAGGAGCUCCUGCUGCAUGGUGGGGGUUGGAAAGUUUCGGCGGUUGGGGAUGGACUCGCGGCUUAUCAGCUUGUUGGUGGGGUAGUGGCUUACCAAGGCUUUGACGGGUAGCCGGCCUGAGAGGGUGACCGGCCACAUUGGGACUGAGAUACGGCCCAGACUCCUACGGGAGGCAGCAGUGGGGAAUACUGCACAAUGGGCGGAAGCCUGAUGCAGCAACGCCGCGUGCGGGAUGACGGCCUUCGGGUUGUAAACCGCUUUCGCCUGUGACGAAGCGUGAGUGACGGUAAUGGGUAAAGAAGCACCGGCUAACUACGUGCCAGCAGCCGCGGUGAUACGUAGGGUGCGAGCGUUGUCCGGAUUUAUUGGGCGUAAAGGGCUCGUAGGUGGUUGAUCGCGUCGGAAGUGUAAUCUUGGGGCUUAACCCUGAGCGUGCUUUCGAUACGGGUUGACUUGAGGAAGGUAGGGGAGAAUGGAAUUCCUGGUGGAGCGGUGGAAUGCGCAGAUAUCAGGAGGAACACCAGUGGCGAAGGCGGUUCUCUGGGCCUUUCCUGACGCUGAGGAGCGAAAGCGUGGGGAGCGAACAGGCUUAGAUACCCUGGUAGUCCACGCUGUAAACGGUGGGUACUAGGUGUGGGGUCCAUUCCACGGGUUCCGUGCCGUAGCUAACGCUUUAAGUACCCCGCCUGGGGAGUACGGCCGCAAGGCUAAAACUCAAAGGAAUUGACGGGGCCCCGCACAAGCGGCGGAGCAUGCGGAUUAAUUCGAUGCAACGCGUAGAACCUUACCUGGGUUUGACAUGGAUCGGGAGUGCUCAGAGAUGGGUGUGCCUCUUUUGGGGUCGGUUCACAGGUGGUGCAUGGCUGUCGUCAGCUCGUGUCGUGAGAUGUUGGGUUAAGUCCCGCAACGAGCGCAACCCUUGUUCACUGUUGCCAGCACGUUAUGGUGGGGACUCAGUGGAGACCGCCGGGGUCAACUCGGAGGAAGGUGGGGAUGACGUCAAGUCAUCAUGCCCCUUAUGUCCAGGGCUUCACGCAUGCUACAAUGGCUGGUACAGAGAGUGGCGAGCCUGUGAGGGUGAGCGAAUCUCGGAAAGUCGGUCUCAGUUCGGAUUGGGGUCUGCAACUCGACCUCAUGAAGUCGGAGUCGCUAGUAAUCGCAGAUCAGCAACGCUGCGGUGAAUACGUUCCCGGGGCU
rnacentral:rRNA from 1 species